rnacentral:tRNA from 2 species
GCGGGUGUGGCGGAAUUGGUAGACGCGCUAGACUUAGGAUCUAGUGCCGCAAGGUGUGAGAGUUCGAGUCUCUCCACCCGUA